CUGCCUGCCUCUGUGUGUGUGUGUGUGUGCGUGCGCGCGCGCGGGCGGGCGGGUGUGUGUGUGUCUGUAUGCGCCUUCCCUUGUGCCUGGCUGCUGCUCGCAGCUUCAGCUUCACCUCCUCCCCCUCCCACCCGGUUCUCCCUGCCGGCCGCACGGCCAAUGAGAAGCUACCGGCUUCAGCUCAGCCCUUGCCCGGGCCAGGCAACCGCCCACAGCCACCCCUGAGCCCAAGGCUGGGCUUUUGCUGCUGCGGCUGCAGCCAGGCAGAGGUGCGCGGACGAGGCCGUGGAAUUAUUGUUGGCACUUUCGUCCUCGGGAAGAACCAGGGGCAACAAGCAGGGUGUGCCUGGGUUCCCGAAAUAACGCACGCAUCAUGACGGGAAUGGGGGCGCGGGGGGAGACAGAGAGGUAAUGCUAAUAAACAAGUGUGAGAAAGCUUUGCUGUUUAUUUACGGGGUGAGACUCUCGGCCAGUGAGAGAAAUAGCUAUGCAAAAAGAAGACAAGCAAAACGCAGCAGCGCUAGGGAACGCUGUGCUAGCCCCAUUGUCUGAGGCGCUUUGCAAUGAGCCACCUGCUGGGAAAAGAAGCUUAGCUGUUUAGGCGGCUGGGUUUGCUUUUGUUUUUAUCGCUCUCCCGCCAUCGCCGAAAACCCUGGAAUUUGACCAGCCAGCCAAUUAGGAAGUUUCGCUCCCUGCGGUUAUUGGACUAGCGGGCCUUUUGUCUCCUGCGUCGUCGUCUCUCCCGCCUCGCGAUCUACUACCUGCCUCAUUUCUCAGCAAAUGUUUAAAAAAAAAAAAAAAAAAGCUUCGCUUAGUACUGGGCAGAGCUCCAAUCUGUGUGUCCGAAAAAUGUCAGGCUGCAUAACGGAAAUUAGGAAGGUUGCUGAGUGCACAGUAACAGCAAGUAUCAGUGCUGGGUCAUUUGCAGAGCUGGCAAGGAUUUUCUCUCACCCUACAGGUCACUGAGCAAACUUGUUUUGUGUCCAUGCAUCAAAGCCUCCAGCCUGAGUGAGAAAUAGCAAAGGGGGGUGGAGACUGUAGGCUCUGGCCCCAAGACAGCCUCACAAGAACGGUGAGUGGCUCAUUCUUGAUUUUAAAGCGGCUUCUUUGGAACUGAGCUUGCAUGGAAGGGAUUUGCAUCACAUGAUCAUGCAGCUUGGCAGUACCAUACACUGUUUGGAACACAUGCAAAGAGCAGCCAAAAUGACAGAUGCGAGCAACUUUUUGUUUCUGAGUUUCUUGGUUUUUCUACAACAAAAAUAUCAACUUAAAAUAGUGUCAAGAGGUUGAAAAUUUCAA